rnacentral:lncRNA from 1 species
UCAAACAUGGCCAACAUCAUCCACAACAUCCAGGAGAAGCUCGGCAUGGGAGGUGACCACAAGGAAGAAGAGCACAAAAAGACCGAGCACAAAGAGGGAGGAAGCAUCAUCGACAAGGUCAAGGACAAGAUCAGCGGCGGCAGCAGCGAGGACAAGAAGAAAGACGGGGAGCAUUAUGAUGAGAAGAAGAGCCAUGACAAGAAAGAUAGCAAGGACAAGAAAGAUGGCAAGGACAAGAAGGACAAGAAGAAGAAGAAGAAGGAUGGGGAUGAGAAGAAACAUGGGAGUGAUAGCAGCAGCGACAGUGACAGCGAUUAAUUUACUAAUCUUGUCUUAUCAAUAAUCUCCCCUUGUUUAGGCCUGAUUAAUUUUCUUAGUAUCUGCCUACUUUAUCUAUCUAUGGCUCUGUGUGUGUAAUAAACAAGGAUUCUCCGGGGAGAUUGUUCAUUUCUGAGUUGCAGUUUUACUCUUCUCUUUGAGAUAUUUGUGAAUCUGGGUUUUAUAUAUGAUUUGCAAUUUUUAUAGAUUAUUUUUUAAAAUAUAUAAUUUGGACAUUAUAAUCAUAGAUUAAAUUUGUUUCAGAAUCUAAUCGAUCACCAAAAUAAUAUAAGUCUAAAUUUUUAUGUAAAAUAAUAUUCUAUGCAAAAUGCUCUUUUUAUCUCUUCUAUUUAUCUGCAAGUUGGUUAAACAAGAAAAUGUAAUGUAAAGAAAAGGAGAAAAAUAUGAAUAAAAUGAUGAGUUCUUUUAUUUAAUAGUAUAUAAAUUGAAUAUAAUAAAAGAAAAUAAUAAAUACAGAUCAUUCCAAAUUUUUUCACGGUAAUAAGAAAAGGGACAUACUUUUGGACUCACGUAGAAAUCGGUUUUGACAUUGAAACAAGUAGUAAAGGAAACUAUAUAAAGAACAUACGAAAUAGUAUUCCCUCUUCCCCUUGACGUCGUGACUCGUGAGGACGUCGGAUACAUAUUUUAAGUCUUUUCUAAAAUAUAUCUUAUAAAUUAAUUUAUUAUUUCAAUAUUUAAAUAUUAUGAAAAAGAAUUGAAAUUAGAUUAUAAAAUCAUAUUUUAAACACAAUCCUGUUAGCAAAACGUAGAAAAAAAACAGGAAAUAAAACGAGUAAAGAAAUUUGUACUCCAACUGAUUGAAGCAAAGCCCAGCCCAACUUGUCAAAGUCCACCCAAACUUUUAAGUUCGGGCCUAGCAACUGACACCAGAAUAUGGAAUCUGCGCUAGGGGUGAACACGGGUUGGGUCGGUCGGGUUAGGGGGGAAAAAAUGACCCAACCCAAUUAGUUUGGUUUGUAAAAAAUCAACCCAUUAACUAAAAAAAAUAUACACAACCCAACCUUGCUAAUUAAAAUUUGGGUUGGGUUGGUUCGGUUUGGGUCGGGUUUCAAAAGCAAAAAUAAAAAAGGCAGCAAAAUAAACUGUCAUUGCCAAUCUGCCCUGUUCUGGAACUUAAUACAUACCAAAAUAUUGUCCACCUACUGUUACUUAAUAUUACAAUCAUCCAUUCAAAAGAUUAACUACUUAAAUUCAACAGUCUUUCUCAAAACAAAAGAGAAUUUGUCCAGAAGUGGUAAACAAGAUAAAAGUGCAACACAAAUCGUGAUGAAUCACUCGUCAAUAACAUCGAUAAUCUUGCCUUUUAGUUUCUCCUUCGAUGUCCGACUGUCCAUCUUCUCAUUCUCAUCUACAAAUAAAAAGAAAAACAUACAUAAGUAAAAUGCAGAGGAGCACACAUUAAUCUAAUUUUAUAUAAUUAUUUACCUCCACUUAAAAAAUCAAAAGAAUGAAUGUCAUCCACACAUUCAUUUAGCUUUGUUCCACCAUAUUGCCCCUGUUCCUUCAACCAGCUUUGAGUGCAAAUAAGAACCUCCAACAUUUUUGGACUUAAAGAACUUCGAAACGGGUCCAAUAUUCGCCCACUAGUACUAAAUGCACUCUCAGAAGCAACAGUGGAUACCGGAAUAGCGAGAACAUCCUUAGCAAUCAAUGAUAAAGUCAUGUACCUUGCAGAGUUUUCCUUCCACCAACGAAGUACAUCGAAUGAAGUUAUCAUUAAAUUGAGAGAUUCUUCUUCCAAAUAUUUAUCAAUUUCAUUUUUGCUCCAGACCGUCUCCAUCUGCUGGCGUUGCAUAAAAUUAUCCAAUAAUCUGCUCCUGCCACCAACACUUUUUGGCGCGGGAACUUCCCUAAACUCCUGUAUAUAAUUUAACUUAUUAGUUUAAACAGCAACAGGUACCAAAUUGUAACUAACAUGCAGAAGCUUAUGUUCAAAUUAAUAUAAUUUGCUACUUACAUCUGAUGAGAUUAAAAGAAAGGAGAGAAACUUGUAUAUCAAUUGUUAAAGUAAAGUAUAAGUCAGGAAAUGAAACAAGCAUCAAAAUAAUUAGUUCUAGUAUUCUGGAGAUUAAAUAGUGUCCUAAAGAGUUUCCAGAGAUACAUAAAAGUUUAGUGCAAAGUUCACCAGGAAAAGUCCAAAAUUUAUUACUUUUUAAUGUUAAACUGUGGCUAUUCCAUAUCUUCAUGAUGUAAUAGAUUAAGCUCUAUAGAGUAAAUGUAUUAUUUUAACAGUUAAACAAAAUUGCAGACAUCAUCUAAACAACUUUCCAGACCUACAGUAACAAAAUUAAAAUCACAUUUAGAAGUUAAGGCACUUGAAUAAAAUAACUAACCUGAUUAUCAGCACCUUUUGAUCCAACAUUAUAGCACGUGUAUAAAGAUUGCAAAACUGACUCCACUUUGACAAUCAGCCUAGCAACUGUUGCAGAAUCAUACACAGCUUCAAAGCAGUACUUCAAAUAUCUCAUUUUGUAUCGAGGGUCCAAUACAACAGCCACAAACAAUAAUGGGUUAAUGUUAUCAGCAUUGCCCCAAUAUUUAUCAUACUUCUCCUUCAUACUAGCAGCCAUGAGAGAUAGUAAUGGAUCAUUUGCAUCAACAAAAUCAUUCAGUUGAGAGUGAAUCUCACAAAUUUCGUGAUAAAAAUUAUUUGAUGUUACGUGCAAAGUUCCACUAAAUUUCAGAGUAACAUCAUAAAAUGUAGCUAGAAAUUUGACAAAAACAGAAGCAGAUUCCCAAUCAGUAGAAGUUGGAGGUCCAAUCAGCUUCUUACCAUUUUCUUUUUCUACGAAGAAACUCAGGAAUUUGUCAUCUUCCUCUUCAUAUCUUGUAAAAGCCUGACCCAACCCAACUUAUUCGGGUUUUUUUGAAAAUUAACCCGUUUAACUUUCGGUUUCGAACGGUUCGGUUUGAUCGGCCUGAAAAAGGGUUGGUUUGGGUCGGGUUAUGCGGUUUGGGUUGGUUUUGUUCAGCCCUAAUCUGCGCUACUUGUUUGAUAUUUUUACUUCUUUUUAUGAGAGCUAAAUUUCCUUUUAUGAAAUCUGUGUUAUUUUAAAUUUUGAUAAUUUAACAUUUCUUUAACUAAAAUAUCUAUAUCAUUUAGUGGAGAACAGUCGCUGGAUCAGAAUGGUGGUGACUUCGAGAUUUUUUUAUUUCCUUCUAUCAUUCGUAUUAAAGACUGUUCCACAAGAAAUGUUUUUAUUUAGUACAAACAAUUUUAAUAAUUGUUUCAGAGUAAUGCUAUCUUUUUUUUUAAAAGCAAGAGUAAUGCUAUCUAAAUUUUUGUUUUUAAACGACGUGACAAAUAUAAGAUUUAGUUUAAUUGAGUGAUUUAUGUGCAUAUAGAAGUCCUAUUAUUAGUGUGUAUAGAAGUCAUCAUACAUUGUCAACUAGAUUUGAAAAAAAAAAGAACGAAAAAAAAAGCUCCGAAAUAUCUAACAUUUUCAUUUUUUUAAAACUCACAAAUGUUUCAAUUUAUGCUCUUAUUUAUUAUUUCCAUAUUAAUAAUAUAUAUUUUUUAAUAUCAAAUACCAGGUACACGGGCGAGGGUGUCAUAGAAGUAACUUAUUGCUUUAGAGUGUUUCUCAUAAAUAAUUAAGUUUAAAAGAAUUUUUGCAACAAUACUAUGGGCCUGUUUGGUUCAUGGAAGCAGAAGCUGCUUCUGGCUUCUGCUUCUCUUGACCCGUUUGUGUAAAAAAGUAGAAGCACUUUUAAAAAGCUGAGAAUGCUAGCUUCUAUCUCACAGCUUCUGCUUCUUUUCCAAUCACUUUAUUAACUUCUUUACUUCUCACUUCUACUCCGCUUCUUUACUAUAAGCAAGAAGUCACUUCUUUUAAGCUAACCCAAACGGCCCCUAUCUCUUUUUAAAACAAAUUGCAAAAUGUUCCAAAAAAUAUUUGCAAAAAUACGGUGGUUGCAUAUGCAACUAUAUCUGCAGCUGCUAGCAACUAUAUAUGCAACCAGAAAUGCAAUUUUUUAUAAAUCUUUUGAAAAUUAUUAUUAUUUGCAUAAUAAGUUGCAACUGGUUGCAAAGGCAGAAAAAUGAAUACCCUGCGGGCCAAUAAUAAUAACAACAUUGCAACCUAAAAGCAACUAAAACAACAAAUCAGAAAAUCAACUCAAAAGCAACCAACUAAAAUAAACAUAAACACGAGACUCAGUUGCUAUACUCCAACUCCUGAACACAUAAACACGAGCUCAGACUCCUCCUACAUUGUGUCUAUUCCUUAAUUGACCCAUCAUUUGCAAACAAAACAACAAACACAUAAAAAGCUUCGAUUGAAUCCCUUUUCAAAAGCCUUACUCGUCGAGUCUAUCACCCAUGCGGCGCGCGGAUCGAAGCUGUUUGAUAACGAUUCGGUUGUUGAUGAAGUGAGUUUGCUCGUUCGAGUUGUGAAGGAGAAGCUCGAUGAUGGGGAGAAGAUGAAGAGAGUGAAGAGCGAGGAGAGAGAAAUAGAGAGAGGUAGGAGAAACAGAGGCAAAAGAGAGGGAGGAGAGAGAGAUGGGGAAUUAUGGAGAAGGGAAGAGACGGGGAGACCGUAUAUAUGCAAAUAGAUUAUAGAAUUUUGAAAAAGAAACUUGAUGUGUAAAUUUAUAUCUACCGCAAGUGCACGGUGCCUGUUGUAAACAGAGACUAGCAAGUACGGGUCGAAUCCACAGGGAGACAAGUUUCAAGAAUCUUAAUCCGAUUAUCACAAAUUGUUUCACAAGACAAACGAUUAUUGAAUAUUUUUUUAUUAACUAAACAAAGCAAUGCAAAGAUGAUUUAAAUCAAUUAACUAAAGUCUAGGACAAUUCAGGUUCACCAUGCUUACACCAAAACUAGCUAUUCAUAUAAUAAUUCAACAAGUCAUGUAAUUAGAGCAAUUGUUAAUCUCUCUCAAGCAUUAACACUCUCAGGAAUCCAUUGAUGCUCUCGCACUCAAUUUCAGUCCCGCUAAUCUUAUGUGUGCCUCUAGUAAGUGUUGGAAAUUUGUCAUUUUGAGCACCAAUUUGAGUGAGGCUCGGCUACGUGCUCGUGGCGGGUUAUGCUUGGAUUAUGUUCUCCUCCGAGAGAGCUUUCCAAUGCAUGUUUAUUCACUCAAAACGACUAAGGAAUGGAUGAGUUGUGAUGAUCCAAAGUUGCUUCCUUGGUAGUGGAAAAUUGGAAAAGAGAGCUAGUAUCCCACAUAGAAAAGAAUAUGGGCCUUUAAUGGGUUUAUAUAGUAGAACACUCUUGUAGUGUUUAACUUGUGUUAGUGUGUUAUGCUCCACCACCUACGUGCGCGCAGGGGGGGGUGCAAAUUGUGGGAUUUCGAGGGGAGUUUCGUGGCUUCGCAAGCCUCGGGCUUUUCCGCGUGUGCGACCUGCGGACACGAAUGCAGCAAAAUCUGGGCCCGAAGAAUUACGGACUAGUUUUGCUGAAUUUAAUUUUCCACUAGGCUUGGGCUCAAUUAAAUUGACAGAAAUUAAUUCCGAUUUGAUUUCGGAUUAAUUGUUUGGUUUUAAAUUAAUUCGAUUUGAUUUCGGAUUUAAUUUAUAACCGUGUGAAUUAAUUAACGCGUUUUAAUUAAUUACAAAGCGUAGCGCACAAGUCUUGCAUUGCCUAUAUAUAUUCAUUAUACUUUAGGGUUUGCACACACGAAAAAUACACAGCCUCUCGCCCCAAAACCCUAGCCGCGUCGGUGAUAGUUUCAGUUCUUGUUCUUGUUCGUCGAAGGUGCUUACUGCAUCGUUCAAUCCGUUUUAUCCUGGGAGGCGAUCGUUCAUCACAUACGGUGAGGGCGAAAUACGCUUUAAGGAGACAGUUACGCACUGGACUCGGAUUUCCGUUCAUAUAUCCUUCGUUCUGUUUUGUCUCCUUACGCCUACUGUUUGGUCACACGCACACAAACGCACGUUUUGUAUUGUUGGUUUUUUCACAGAUUGUGUAACAAUCUUAAAGCGUAUUUUUAUUCUGUUUUACAUCUGUGGUUGAUCUGAUUUGGUUUGUUUGCGUGUUGAUUCACAGUAUAAUGGAGAAUGUUAACAAUGUUAUCCCCACGAGCGGUACGGCUGUUGAUCCCAACGCACUGGUUAAUCCAGAUGGGGGUGUGCCAUCUGGUUCUGGACCUACGCCUGCGGGCUCUGGUUCUGGACCUACACCUGCGGGCUUCGGCUUCGGGACUACGCCUCCGGGCUACGGUUCUGGGACUACGCCUCCGGGCUAUGGUCCUGCGGGACAGAUGACCUUUGGUCAGUUCAGUGUUCCACUUACACACUGUCCGGCAGGACAUGUUCCUCAGCCGAAUGGGACUGCUGUGCAUACAGCGCCUGUUGCGCCUGUUGCGCCCUUUGUGCCAGCUGUGCCUCAUGUGCCUACUUCUCACGCUGAAAGGCCAGAAAAGUUCAACGGAACGAACUUCAAACAGUGGCAGCAGAAGAUGUUGUUCUACCUGACCACACUGAAUUUGUCUCGCUAUUUGAGAGAAGAGACACCNNNNNNNNNNNNNNNNNNNNNNNNNNNNNNNNNNNNNNNNNNNNNNNNNNNNNNNNNNNNNNNNNNNNNNNNNNNNNNNNNNNNNNNNNNNNNNNNNNNNNNNNNNNNNNNNNNNNNNNNNNNNNNNNNNNNNNNNNNNNNNNNNNNNNNNNNNNNNNNNNNNNNNNNNNNNNNNNNNNNNNNNNNNNNNNNNNNNNNNNNNNNNNNNNNNNNNNNNNNNNNNNNNNNNNNNNNNNNNNNNNNNNNNNNNNNNNNNNNNNNNNNNNNNNNNNNNNNNNNNNNNNNNNNNNNNNNNNNNNNNNNNNNNNNNNNNNNNNNNNNNNNNNNNNNNNNNNNNNNNNNNNNNNNNNNNNNNNNNNNNNNNNNNNNNNNNNNNNNNNNNNNNNNNNNNNNNNNNNNNNNNNNNNNNNNNNNNNNNNNNNNNNNNNNNNNNNNNNNNNNNNNNNNNNNNNNNNNNNNNNNNNNNNNNNNNNNNNNNNNNNNNNNNNNNNNNNNNNNNNNNNNNNNNNNNNNNNNNNNNNNNNNNNNNNNNNNNNNNNNNNNNNNNNNNNNNNNNNNNNNNNNNNNNNNNNNNNNNNNNNNNNNNNNNNNNNNNNNNNNNNNNNNNNNNNNNNNNNNNNNNNNNNNNNNNNNNNNNNNNNNNNNNNNNNNNNNNNNNNNNNNNNNNNNNNNNNNNNNNNNNNNNNNNNNNNNNNNNNNNNNNNNNNNNNNNNNNNNNNNNNNNNNNNNNNNNNNNNNNNNNNNNNNNNNNNNNNNNNNNNNNNNNNNNNNNNNNNNNNNNNNNNNNNNNNNNNNNNNNNNNNGAAAAAGAAACCGAGUUACAAACACCUGAAAGUGUGGGGGUGCCUUGCUAAGGUACUGAUCCCUACACCUAAGAAGGUGAAGAUUGGUCCGAAAACCGUGGAUUGUAUCUUCAUCGGAUAUCCUCCGCGUAGUACAGCAUAUCGGUUUCUUGUGUAUGAUUCUAAGAUUCCUGAGAUUCAAAAGAAUACGAUCAUGGAAUCAAGAAAUGCCUCAUUCUUUGAGACUACGUUUCCUUGUAAUCCAAGAAACGAGCACCCUACGACAUCUAAACGAACUCAUGAAUCUGUAGAUGAUGAAAAUGAGAAUGAUGAAAGUGAAGAUGAAAAUGUGGGGGUUGUGAGGAGGAGCAAAAGACAACGAACAGAGAAAUCUUUUGGGUCUGAUUUUAUGACCUAUUUGCUCGAAGAAGGUGAUCCGAAAACCUAUAAGGAAGCGGUCACCUCACCUGAUGGACCUAUGUGGAAAGAGGCCAUCAAAAGCGAAAUUGAUUCUAUCCUACAGAAUCACACUUGGGAGUUAGUGGACUUGCCACCUGGUUGUAAAGCACUAGGCAGCAAAUGGGUUUUCAAAAAGAAAUUGAAACCUGACGGAACCAUUGAUAAGUAUAAGGCCAGACUUGUAAUCAAAGGAUACAAGCAGCAGAAAGGCCUUGAUUAUUUUGAUACGUAUUCUCCUGUGACGAGAAUCACGUCUAUAAGGAUGAUGUUUGCAAUCGCUGCGAUGCGAAACUUAACAGUGCAUCAGAUGGAUGUGAAAACAGCUUUUCUAAAUGGGGAUAUAGAUGAGGAAAUCUAUAUGGAACAACCUGAAGGGUUUGCUGUCCCUGGGCAAGAAAGGAAAGUCUGUAAAUUAGUGAAAUCACUAUAUGGCUUGAAGCAAGCGCCUAUGAAAUGGCAUGAGAAAUUUGAUGAAGUCGUGUUAGCACACAACUUCAAGAUCAACGAAUGUGAUAGCUGUGCCUAUUACAAGGAUGACGAGAGCGGUUAUGUCAUGAUGACAUUGUAUGUGGAUGAUCUACUUAUUGCCGGAAGCAAUGAAAAAGUGAUCAAAUCCACAAAGGACAUGUUAAAAUCAAGAUUUGACAUGAAAGACAUGGGACUCGCAAAUGUAAUUCUAGGAAUCCAAAUUUCUAGAACAUCAGAGGGUCUCGCACUAAGUCAACCUCAUUACGUUGACAAGAUCCUUGAGAGGUUUCUUAAGGAUGAUACUGAGAAAGCUAGGACACCUGUGGAUAUGACUUUACAUCUAUCCAAGAAUAAAGGUGAGGGGGUCUCUCAGUUGGAGUACUCUAGGAUAAUUGGAAGUCUGAUGUACUUAAUGAGUUGUACAAGACCAGACAUUGCGUACUCAAUUAGCAAGUUGAGUAGGUUCACGAGUAAUCCUGGAGAUGAUCACUGGAAAGCGAUCAUAAGGGUACUAAGGUACCUAAGGGGAACUCGAGACUAUGGAUUGCACUAUGGCAGAUACCCAGCAGUAUUAGAAGGAUAUACUGACGCAAACUGGAUAUCUAGCAAAAAGGCACUAAAGUCUACGAGUGGCUACGUGUUUACACUAGCUGGAGCAGCAGUAUCAUGGAAAUCCUCCAAGCAAACGGUUAUAACUCACUCCACAAUGGAAGCUGAGUUUAUGGCUUUAGAUAAAUGCGCUGAAGAGGCUGAAUAUCUACGCCAAUUUCUGGAGGAUAUUCCAAGAUGGCCGAGGCCUGUGACUGCAAUAGGGAUACACUGUGAUAGUCAAUCCGCUAUUGGCAGAGCACAGAGCACAAUGUAUAAUGGAAAGUCCCGUCAUAUACGACGACGACAUAGUUCCAUUAGACAAUUAAUCUCAACCGGAAUUAUCACUAUUGACUAUAUACCGUCAAAGGAUAAUAUUGCGGAUCCGCUAACCAAAGGGUUACCAAGAGAAGUGGUUGAGAAAUCAUCGAGAGGAAUGGGUCUUAAGCCUAUAGCUUAACGGCAUCAUGGUGGACACCCAACCAUUGCUGACUGGAGAUCCCAAGAACUUGGUUCAAUGGGACAACUAAAUCAUGAUGACCUAAUCACUGUGGGGGUAACCCCUGGCCUGUUCCUAUGAUGAAGAAACAGUGAGACCCGUAAGGUACGAGGUUAAGCCUUGAGCUUUUAAUGAUCUUUGGUGAAUACAUGGAGUGGUACACGCAUGGAAUUCAGUUGAGUAAACGCGGGUUACUCUAUAAGAUAAAGAUCACCUAUGUAGGAGAGAAGUGGGGCCGCUUCAAAGGAGAAUUGCAAGGCACAAUUCUUUAGAAACUCCCGCAGAACCAGGACGAUGUUCCAUGGCCAAAAUGGACAUACUCAUGAGAACUGAACAAGUCAGAAAGGAUAUAGUGAUAAGUAUAUCAUCGUUUACACAAACGGUCGAACAGUUCAAGGACAAGCACGUCCACUGUCUACCAGUAAAGUCGAUGUGCUUAAUCGAGCGAAGGUUCAAGGAGCAUUCUCUACCUAUCGUAUGCUAUAUCUGAUCGCAGAAACUAUCACCAAAAGUCAAACCCUGUGUCUGUCUGUCUGGUGUGUGCUACUGAAAAUCAUCAAUCUCACCCAUGUGGGUGAGUGUUGGAAAUUUGUCAUUUUGAGCACCAAUUUGAGUGAGGCUCGGCUACGUGCUCGUGGCGGGUUAUGCUUGGAUUAUGUUCUCCUCCGAGAGAGCUUUCCAACGCAUGUUUAUUCACUCAAAACGACUAAGGAAUGGAUGAGUUGUGAUGAUCCAAAGUUGCUUCCUUGGUAGUGGAAAAAUGGAAAAGAGAACUAGUAUCCCACAUAGAAAAGAAUAUGGGCCUUUAAUGGGUUUAUAUAGUAGAACACUCUUGUAGUGUUUAACUUGUGUUAGUGUGUUAUGCUCCACCACCUACGUGCGCGCAGGGGGGGGGUGCAAAUUGUGGGAUUUCGACGCAAAUCUCGUGGCUUCGCAAGCCUCGGGCUUUUCCGCGUGUGCGACCUGCGGACACGAAUGCAGCAAAAUCUGGGCCCGAAGAAUUACGGACUAGAUUUGCUAAAUUUAUUUUUCCACUGGGCUUGGGUUCAAUUAAAUUGACAGAAAUUAAUUCCGAUUUGAUUUCGGAUUUAAUUUAUAACCGCGUAAAUUAAUUAAACGCGUUUUAAUUAAUUGCGAAGCGGAGCGCACAAGUCUUGCAUUGUCUAUAUAUACUCAUUGUAGAUUAGGGUUUACAUAUACGAAAUAUACACAGCCUCUCGCACCCAAAACCCCUAGCCGCGUCGGUGAUAGUUUCAGUUCUUGUUCUUGUUCGUCGAAGGUGCUUACUGCAUCUUUCAAUCCGUUUUAUCCUGGGAGGCGAUCGUUCAUCACAUACGGUGAGGGCGAAAUACGCUUUAAGGAGACAGUUACGCACUGGACUCGGAUUUCCGUUCAUAUAUCCUUCGUUCUGUUUUGUCUCCUUACGCCUACCGUUUGGUCACACGCACACAAACGCACGUUUUGUAUUGUUGGUUUUUUCACAGAUUGUGUAACAGUAAGUACAUCUCUCGAUCUUGUACUCCUAUUUGCAUAAAAUUAAUCUAUGAUAUUGGCCAAUUACACAGAUCAAACAUUAAGACAUAUAGACUAGAAUUACACGUUACCCAUUAAACCAUUAAUGAAAGUAAAGCAUUAUAAUGGUGCAAACAUGGCUCCCCUUCUGUCCUAGAAUGAAACUACUCACACAUAGUAGCAGAAGUAAAAGCAACACAAAUAAUGAAGAGAGCCAUAUAAAACAUUAACAAGUAAAACCAGAGAUGAAAAGGAAUACCUCAAACUUAUAUUAAUGGAGAAAACAAUGUCUAGAACAAAGUAUGGAGAGAAGGAGAAACCUAACCCUCUGUAAAAGUAGCGUAUGUAACUAAUGUCUAUUCUAAUGGUAAUCUCUAAUAAUAAAAUGUGAUCCUCUUUCCAUAAUAAAAACCUUUCUAAUAUUUUAAAUCAAUAUACAAAAUAGAACUCCAAAACCAACAAGGAUUCUCUCUCAAAAUUCGCAGCUUUCUUUUCUGCUCUGUUUUUGGGCUUUUUCAGUUGGACUUUGCUUACUGGACCACUUCUGAAUUAAAGAAAAUUCCAAAAGCUUCGCGUGGACUGUAAGAUCGUCCAAAUCCGACAUCCAGAACUCAAGUUAUGGCCCAAACAGUGUAGAAAUCGGGUAAAACCCAAUAAAUCCGAAUUUUAAUAGAAAUUAGCUCCAAAAUAGCUAUUUUAGCAUCAAAUCCUUCUCAACUUGGAAUUCUUUAUUCCCUACAAUAAAACAUGAAAAUAUAUUAAAUAAAUAUUCAAAUCAGUGGAAAAUAUAAUUAAAUAUGAGAAUAAAAUCAUAUAGAAUAUAUAUAAAAAUAUAUUCUAUCAAAAGUUAAUAUGAAUUUUUUUGGAGAAGAUUGUAUUAUUGAAAUUAAAAUAUUAAAAAGAGGUAUAUUUGGUAAAUACCCAUUGCUUUAUGGGUGGAAUUGCCACAACAAGAGUAUCCUUUUUGGGUAAAAUUAUUGUGGUAAAAUAGUAAUUACUCCCUCCGUCCCGGUCAAUAGUAUACAGUUACCACUUACCACUUUUGAACGUCCCAUCAUUUAUAAACAUUGAUUUGUAUAGGAAACUUUUAAUAUUAAAAAAGUAACGGUAGCUACUUUAUUAACUCACAAAUAACAAUAUUAGUCACGUUAAUCACAAAUUGUUUGUUAAUUAGUUAUACCUAAUUAAUCAGAUUAUACUACUAGAUUUUACACGGUCAUACCCAUUUCUCUCAUUUUCUCCCCCCUCUCUCUCCUCGUUGAACCCUAAUUUACUUUUUCCCAAUUCGAUCUCCGUCUCUUUCUUCCAUAAUCAAGAACAUGUUUAAUGUAAUCCCAGCUGAUAAAUGAUUCAGCCCCAUCAUCUGAUUUGAUUCCGAGACAAUAUCUUCUCCUUCCUCGCUAGUUCCCGUCACAGACUUGCGCGUAUAUAUAAUCGUAGAUUAUCUGGAUAGUUUUGAAGUUGUCGAAGACACGCCGGUGAUGGUGAAAAAACGCGAAUUACAAUAGAAGUUAAGCAUUCUAAAAGCUAAGAACUUAAAAUUUGAAGAGCCAUCUAGGCUACUACAGAUUUUUCAGAAGACGGGUAAUUUCUCAUUUAAAUUAUGCGUAGUUGAAUGCAAGUGAUGUAAUUUUUAUGUGAUAUUUGAUUCUAUGGGGUUUCGGUUCACUUGGCAAUAGGUAGUAUAUUUGCGAUGUAUUUGUCAUAUAAAACCACUUCUCAUCUUUGUGAACCAUACAAUACAUGUCUAUGUAUGUUGGGUUUGUAUGGAGUGUUGAUAUCUCGGUAUGGUAUAAGACAAACCUAACUCUUGCUUCCAUAUUUUGAGAUGUUAAAUAAGGUUUCAAGGCAUUUGCAUGUGACUUAAUUUUUCCCUAUUGAAUAGCUCUAUUUGACAAGUGUCCGAAUAUUGGUACAUAAGUGCAAUGGAAUUGAACUUACCUUCUCCGAGUCAAAUUCAAAUCUCUUGCUACUACCUUUGUACUUUCUCUCCACAUCAGGCUGCUCAUUAGCUUUUAUUGCAAGUAGACUCGCUUUCCAUAUCUUUGAAAUCACUAGCCUUGUGACUUCAUAUUUACGGGCAAUUUGGUUUAUCAAUCCUUUCUCAAGCUUGUUAUUUUUGUAAUUUAAAAUUAGCUCAUAAACAAUCUGAUUUUUUACUAAAUUCGUCAAUCUUUUUCCUUUUGCAGGACCCGUAACUGUGGUGGUUGGAACUUCAUUCAAUUCUGAAAAUGAUUCUUCAUUUAAAUCCGGAAGGAUGAAGACGGUAGUUAUUUUUUUUGGUGUUGUAUUGUAAAUUCUGUGUUUGUACUAAGUUUGUAAAACAACAAAUGUUUGUAAAGAAAAUUGAGGAUGUAUAAUAGCAGUACAGGUGGUGGGUAGGUGAAAAGGAGGGGGGGAUCUUUUGGUUUUGAAUUUUCGGUUAGUGGUUUAAGUAUUCUAAUCACUUCCCACCCUUUUUUUAAUCAGCGUACAUUCUGUACUCUACAUGACUUUACUGCGUUGAUAUAUUACUUCUUUAUAUGCUGCCUUGUCCUCCGUGCCCAGAUGUUUUGUAUAUAAAUCACUGGGAUGGAGGGAGUAGAAGAUUUCAAAGGCAUUAAGAUUUUUGAGGUCCAGCCAAGGCUUAGUCUAGGAUCUCACCACUCGUAGUUUCUGGUUUGGUACCAUUGUAUAUGUCAAUUUAAUUUUUUUUGCCGUAUUCAAUUAGAUUUUAUAUAGGAUGUGAAUUUAAUUGUAUUAUAUCUGAUUUUAGUUUUAUACAAAUUAUAGAUAAAAUAUCGCAGAGUUAAUGAAAGUCUUUAGAAUUUAGGUAAAAUGAUUCAAAUAUUCAUGAAUUUGAUGAGAUUUCAAAUAUCUUAAAAAACACUGGACAAUUCCACAAAAUCUAUCAUUUUAUCAAGUCCAAAAAAAUCCAUCAACAUUUGAAUACCAUCAUAUUUUAAUGGAUUUUAAAUAAUCUCAAUUGAAUAUCAUUGGAUUUUAAAGUAUAAUUUAAAAUACUAAUCGUAUACGACCAUAUUUUGUAGCAUAACUAAAAAUCCUAAUUGAUUACCCCAAGAUUCUGUUACAUUUAUUAAAAUCGGGAUUUAAUAUGCUCGAAUUUAAUGAAUGUAAAAAAUUCUUUAAAAUUUCAAUCGAAUACAGCCCCGUUAAACUAUACUCUGAGCUGUGAUAAAAAUAAAAAUAAUUAUUUUACAAGUAUCAAAGAUCAAUACAACGGAAUGGAAUAAGAUAGAAUAGAGAAGGAAUGCUUUCAUCAAUUUAUUUUAGGAUGAAUAGUUUCUCAUCAUAUUAUAGCAGGUAUAUUAGAUAUUUAUUUAAUUCUCUGGGACUAAUGGGUCUUGAACAACUUCUAUGAAUACAACCGAUUAAACUAUAACCCCAAAUAUAAAUUAUCAAAUUAUUUUGUUCACUGAUGAAAUAUAAUAGAAAGAAAAUAUUCUCUUUUUGGGUCUUGGCGAAAGAAAAUUUUAUUAAAAGAACUCUGUUUAACAAUUUCGGAAUUUCUCAGACACAUCAAUGAGAAAAAGCAUUGAAUGAUCAGUAUACUUCAAAUCAAGGAGGCUGGCUUCAGCUUUAUGUAAUGCACACAAUUUUAACUAUCCAAACAAAUUAAUUUAAGUUUCAUCUCUACUACAGAACUGGACAUAAGAAUUCGUCAUCAUUUGUAUAUUUUGCUUCGUUUAGCUAAAUAAACAUGUCAAUGCUUUAUUCUCUGCUUUUAAAUAUUUAUCUUGUUCCAACCAGAUGAUGAAAAAUUAUUAUGUCCAAAGGAUAUGUAAGAAUUCAACUAUCCCAAUAACAAUGCUGUAUUAGGAGUUAAAUCAGUUAAAGAUAUAUGUUAAACAAGUAAUGCAUGUAUGAUAAAAAGAUGAGGUCACAUUUGAUUCCUUAAUAAUUUAUAUAUGUCUAUAAAUCAAAUAUUCAAAAUAUUUCAUAUGGUUCACUCUAUAAUACAUGUGACGACAAUAUUAGAAAUAAUGUUAGGUCCCAAAUAAUAUAGAGGGGUGAAUAUGUUGUUAGUACAUUUUUCAAUUAAUUUUAUGAAUAAUUAAAUUUAGCACGUAAAUCUGAAACAUGAAACGAUUCGUAGAAUAUUUUUUAUUAGUAAACCACGAUAGUGCUACAAAACCUAAUCCGAUGAAUUAAUUAUAAUUUUUUUUUUACGAAUUUUUGUUAGGUCCCGAUUUAUGAGUACAAACAUGUUUAAGAAAGUGUCUAUUAAUUUUGACAUCUUAGUACUAAACUUUUUUAAGUUCUUUGUGUCAUAAAAAGAUAUAAGAAAGGAAGCUAGACAACAAGAGGCUAAGGGCAAUAAUUGAGAAUAAGGAGCAAGAGGCUAACUCGCAAGAAAAAGAGACAUGGAAAUUUUAGAAGAUUUGAUGCGGAUGCUCUUUUUCGAGUCCAAACUUCAUCCAAGCAUGUAGAAAUUUUAGGAGUUCCAAAUAUUGUCAAAAAGCCUCACUCUGACUAUACUUAUGCAAUUCAUUUAUCUGAAUCUAAAAUAGUUUUGUUCUUAAGUACACUCGACAAAGUUAAAGGGUUAGCAUCUAAAGACAAAUUGCCAGAGAGAUUGGAAUUCUUUUACAAGGAUGGAUAUAGAAGACAAUGAUCAUUACAAAGGAUAAUUGAUCAUGACUAUAACAUUUUGAGAUCCUUAGAGCACGUAUAGUGGGUGCCCGUUUCUUGCAUAGGGACUCGUAAAAUGACUUGGGCAACAUAAAAAAGUGGUCAGCUGUAUUGGAUGGUUUAUAAAAAACUGGCUGAGCCCACUACAGUGGCCAGUGCCCAGUUACAAGUUUUACCUAUCUUAAUAAUUCUUUAACAUAGAUUAGCUCAGCAGUUUUUAAUUGUUGUUAUACUUUGUAUCUGUUUAUCUAAAUAAAAUGGGUUUGGAGCAUUGGAUGAAACUAACCACAUAUUUUUAACUGUCCACUAUUGCUUAGUUGGCACAUAAAUGACCCCACACGUAAGCGGCCAUAUGCAAUGGGGAUGCUCUUAUAUAUGUUAGAAUAAUCUUAAAUUUAGUUAUUAUUAUUAUUUGUUUAGUUAUUUAUUUUGAGGAUUAAUUCUAGAUUGAAGUAGUUGGAUGAUUGUUGGAGUUCUAGAGAGUUUGUAGGAGGUAUUGAGUCUAUCUUGUUUUAGGAGAUUUAUUAGAAGUAGUAGAGUAUUGUUAGGAGUCAAGUACGUUUGUUUUAAAUAUGACAUGUAAUCUCUUUUUUAGACAAACAAGAAUUAAUAAGAAUCGNGGAAGAAAAAUUAAUGCAAAUCAGUUUUAUAUUCUACACUUGGCAUCAGAGCCAGGUUUAAAGGGCUUGUGAAGUUAUGAAUAUAUAUAUAUAUAUAUAUAUAUAUAUAUAUAUAUAUAUAUAUAUAUAGAGAGAGAGAGAGAGAGAGAGAGAGAGAUAAGCAAUCUUUGUAUUUUUUUUCAAAUGGCGUCAAAUAAUUUUUCUCUUUCGAUACCUACCUUCAAAGGAGAUCACUCUGAUUCAUGGGCUAUCAAAAUGAAAUCAUAUUUGAAAGCGAUGAGUUUGUGGGAAACAAUUGAAAGUGAUGUUGAAUUAACCCUUCUUCCACAAUAUCCAACCGCAGCUCAAAAUCAAAAAACGUGACGAGGAAGCGGCAAGAGAAGCAAAGGCACUCUCAUGUAUUCAUUCGGCGGUGUCGGAUGGAAUUUUUACAAGCAUCAUGACUUGCGAGUCACCAAAAGAGGCAUGGAGCACGUUAAAGGAAGAGUUUGAAGGAAAUGCUAAAACAAAGUUGAUGCAAGUUUUGAAUCUUAAACAAGAAUUCGAGAUGCAGCGAAUGAAGGGGAACGAACUUAUUAAGGAAUAUGUGAGUAAGCUUAUGAGCAAUGUUAAUCAAAUAAGGUUGUUUGGUGAAACAUUUGCCAGCGAGAGGGUUGUUGAUAAAAUUCUGGUGAGUGUUCCUGAAAAAUAUGAGUCUAAAAUAUCCUCACUUGAAGAUUCUAAAGACCUAUCCAAAAUAACCCUAGUGGAAUUAGUCAAUGCUCUUAGUGCCGUAGAUCAAAGGAGAUUAAUGAGGGAGGAAGAAAAUGGAGGAAAACUUGAAGGACUCUUAUUAGCGAAAAGUUCCUUUGUAAAAGCCACAGGUAACAAAGUUCAAUGCAACCACUGUCAUAACAUUACGCCAUAUUUGGCCUAUUGCAAGCCCGAAAAAAUGUUGCGUAAAGCCCUAAAAGUAUUACAAUAGAGUCUAUUGUAAUAUUUCACCUAAAAUUAGGGCUUGCAUUUGCGGCCGUUGCAAUAGGUCAUCAAAUGGAACACUUUUCCUUGUAACGCAACACUUUAAAAGUCUUGCAAUAACUUUGAUAUUGCAACAUCUUUAGCCCUUUGUGUAUCACUUUUUAGGCGUUACAAUAGCCUAUUGUAACUUUUUUGUGCAACACUUAUUUGAUUUUUUAAUGAGCAUUUUUAUAAUUAUUUAUGCCCAUUUUAAUACUUUUAUAUUAAUGAAUUGCACCAUUUAUGUGUAACAUUUUAAAGUCUAUUGUAACAUAUUUUUUUAAUUUGUUUUUGCAGCAUUUUAUCUGUAUGUUAUAAUACCACCUAUUUCCACAAAAUCAACCAUUAAAAAUUAAAAUACUAAAGCACAAGUCAAAACAUUCCACCAAAAUCUCCAAGUUCAAACUAAUAUACCAAACAAAUAUCACAAGUCAAAAUACACAACCAACUUCUACUUGGUUCUCCUUGAUUUCCUAAUUGUGAAGAAGCCAGUUUGUAGAAAUCCACGAAGACUUUACAGCUCCAAAAUGGAAUUAAAAAACUAAUCGAGAUGGCCAACUUACUCUCCAACACUUCAAUCUACCCCAACUCAUGCAUUCCAUCUCUGGCUUCAAAGAUUUUAAUUCUAUUAUUCUUUGCCGUCACAGCCAAUAGACUUCUAUCCUUGUUGGAAAACUGAAAUUGCCAAUUAACAGAACUGCAAUACCGUUUACUAUAUGUAGUAUAAGACUUUGUAGUGCACUUCCAACUACGAAAUAAACAUUUUGGACUUGCUCUGUGCUGGCUCCAUAUCUUCAGUUUCCCGUCAAAUGAAUGUGAUACCAGAAACUAGAGAAAACAAAAACAUUACAAAGUGGAUUUAGUUGAAUACAUACACCAUAUAUAAUAGACAUAUGCACUAGGUAGAAAUAAAUAUACCACUGUACUCACACUUACACGAGUUCUUACAUACGUUGCUGCUUUCUGGAACUAAAAUAUGUCAAUUAUAUAUACAUUUAUAAUUAUUUAAACUAACCUUGAUUAAUAUGUCACUGCCACAAGUGAAUAACAGUUUACCAGCAAAGAUGAGAUCAUAUAACCUGCCAAAAUGUUACACAUAAAUGGUGCAAUUUAUUAAUAUACAUAUUAGAAUAUUCGACUCUGGUUUUCAAAAAAAUUAUUGUUGUUAAGCAGAGUUCCAGAAGCAUUCUCAUUUUACUGAUUUCUGUAUGUUAACCUACAAGGUGUGCCCAAUACCUGCUCAUUUCAUAUCAACAGCCUCAGGUCAAACAAAACUUAGCUUUUGAACUUUGAACUGAUCUCAAUAAAUAGGAAGGCUAAUAAUAAGACAGGAACUUAAAGGACCACUUAUAUAUUAAAAUCUACUGCUAAUUUGAAUCUAAAAAAAUAUAACAAGCUUAUCAAUUAAACCUAAGUUAAGUUCAAAAAAAAAAAAAUAAUUAAACUUGAAUAUAUUUUAUUAUACAAGAGGGGAGAUUAAUUAAUUAAGUCAUAUGGCCCCUCACUAAUUUCUUUAAACAUAAUUAUUUAUUAUUUGUAGUAUAAGUGACAGAACUUAAUAACAAAAGAAACAAAUCAUAUGGACAACAUCAAAAAAACACAGAACAAAACAAAAAAACAUAAUAAGUGCCCAUAUAUAUACCCACAAAUUCAUAUAUAUAUUUCAAGAGAUUUAUAAGUGAGUACCUAAAUGCCCAUGGUUAGCAGCAACAUGAAAAGCAUCUAAACCAGAAGCCUUAGAUUUGAUCAAAGCAUCUAAACCAGAAGCCUUAGACAUGAGAAUACGCGAAACAUAAACUCAGUUUGUUUUGGUUGACUAGUUGCUAGACAAAUUUUUAACAAUUUGAAAAAUCAAAGUCGAUAGUCGAUAGGUUGGUCUAUUCUUGAUUAGUAAUUGUAAUCCCAAAUGACUAUACUCAGCAUUUCUAUAAGUACAUGUCAAAUACUAGUAUUGAAUACCAGCAUAUCUUAAACCAAACAAGCAGUAGUUAGGUAUGGGGAAAUACUCUGCAUUCUCUGUUUUCUUAUUUCCAUCCUCGUAGCUCAUUCCCAAGUUUCAGCAUCUACAGAAACUUGUGAUUUUUCAACAAUCUUCAAUUUCAUUUAAUGAUUAUAAAAACCAUUUGGAUACUAAAUAAUUUUAGAUACUAAAUGAACACUAAAGAAAAUAUAUAUAGCACUAAUAAUCUUGUAAUAAACCUCUAUGGACAGAUUGUAGUUGCAUAUUAUGUAUACAAGAAGUUACCCCCUUCAAGAUAUACAUCCGAUUAUUAUUAUUAUUCGGCCAAAAUCUUCUGAAAAACAAGCCAGAUACACAACUAGAAGAGGUCAAACAAGUAUCAAAAUAGCAAUUGCUAACAAAUCUAUAAUUUACCUUAUAUUCUCAAUCAUGAUUUUUUUUAAUAAAAAAAACUCACUUUUAGAAGAAUUUUAACAAAUGCAUACCUCUGUAGCUUCACUUCACCACUAAUGUCAUUGAGGAUUGUCAGGUUAUGUACUUUUAGGGCUUAUAGAUUCUUAACGCAGUUAAAAGUCUCUACAUCAAAGUUGCAGGAAACAGUUAUAUAAAAAGAUAAAUCGAAUUCCACAAAUAUCAUAAAACAAUAGACCUGUGUGUCAUCCAUGCUUUCAUUAUCCCGGAAAAUUGUUGACAUUAGGAUUAUUAACACCUAUAAUUACAAGAGCAACAACCAACACACUAGAUAUGCAUAACCUAGCAGCAAAUAUAGAUAUAAGUGAGCGAAAUUAGAAAAAUAUAUAACUCAACAAACAAAUAUACAUACAACCCAACAUAGCAAAUACACAUAUAAACCUUAAGUGAGAAUAUAUACAUAUAAUCGGAAAUAUAUACUCUUUAUUGACCUUAAAUAGCAUAAAAAAAUAUAUAUUAAUUGAGUAAAUUGCUGACUUAAUGAGAGAGAUGCACCCUUAACCUUCAAGUUACACGAGUCUUUAACUUUCAACCUGCACAAAUUAAGAGAGGUGAAUGAGAGAAAUGAAACCUAAUUGACAGAGAUGAACCCUAAUCGAGAUGAUGCUUGAGAGAGAUAAAUGAAACUCGAGAGAUGAGAGGAAGAUGAGAGACAGAGAGAGAGAGAGACCUGAGAGAGAAAUGAGAGAGUCGACUGAAAUGGAAGAAAUUAGGAGAUUUUGGUGUUAGAAAAAAUUUGGUACUAAAAAGCACCCGCCCAAUGAAAAAUCAAACUACCCGCUUAACAUAUAAUUCGGUCAAGUUGACCAAAGUGUAAACUCUCUUGCAACACUUUUCUCAAAGCAUUGCAAUUGCCCACGGUUUUGUAAUUUCUUAAAAAAUGUUGACAAUCAGUGCAACAUUUUUUUGUUUGUUAUUGUAACACAUUAUAACAUGUUACAGUAGAUUUGGAAAUUUAUAGUCUAUAGCAACACUUUAUGCAACCUUAAUCAUUUGGGGCUUGCAAUAGGCCAAAUAUGGUGUAGUGUAAGAUCGGUCACGAAGAAAAGGACUGCUGGAACAAAGGAAAGCCACAAUGCUUCAAAUGCAAAAGAUAUGGACACUUGGCAAAGAAUUGUAGAUUUCAAGGUGAUGAAGAAAUCAUGGCACAACUGAUGGAGGCAGAACCUCUACUUUAGAGUUAUGGGUGAUUAUGUGCACCGGGAGAGAAGUGCUCCAGUGAAUUUGUUGUUGAUGAGAAGUGCAUCAACAAAUUGUUGGUGGUGAGAAGCGCAUCACAAAUGAAUAGAAGUGCUUCAUAAAUUUUGUUAAGUAAAUUUAAGAUUAUGGGGGUGAUUGUUAGAUGACUAGAUUACAUUUUAUCAAACUUUGUAUUCCAAUACUCCAAUUUUUUUUGUAUACCAUAGAACUUUCUUAAAUUUAGUUAUUAUUAUUAUUUGUUUAGUUAUUUAUUUUGAGGAUUAAUUCUAGAUUGAAGUAGUUGGAUGAUUGUUGGAGUUCUAGAGAGUAUGUAGGAGGCAUCGAGUCUAUCUUGUUUUAGGAGAUUUAUUAGAAGUAGUAGAGUAUUGUUAGGAGUCAAGUACGUUUGUUUUAAAUAUGGCAUGUAAUCUCUUUUUUAGACAAACAAGAAUUAAUAAGAAUCAGUUUUAUAUUCUACAAUAUAUAUAAGUAUUCUAAUAUAGUAGUCAUAUCAGAAAUCUAUGAAAAUUAAAAAUAGAGAAGUUGAAUUUUGCGGAAGGCUUAUCUAAAAGACUUAGGUGGUGUUUGGCAAAUACUUAAAAGCCCGGCUUCCGAGUUUUUAAAUUAUAAGUACUUAUUCGUACCGUUUGUGUAAAAAGUGAAGAAACACUUAAAAAAAGUUAAGAAUACUAGUUUUUGUUUCAUGACUUAUACUUCUUUCCCAAACACUUUAAUCACUUAUAAGUCUCUUAACUUGCUUCUGAUUUCUACUUCACUUUUUUAUUUUAAGAAAAAACACUUAUUUUAAGCUCCCCAAACAAUCCCUUAAUGUUGUUAAUACCAGUAGGUGUAUGCAUCUCUAAUUAUAUUAAUUAAUAGAAUUCAGAUGAUCAAGGAGCAAAAAGUUUCUUCAGAACGAAAGAUCAUUCAACAUGACAGGAGAGUGCAUAGCGGGGAGUAUUGAGGAAAGGGUGACAACUGGGUGGGACAGGGACAAAUAAUAUUAAGACGGGGCAGCCAAGUGAGGUCACUUCUAUUGUCGGCCGCUAUCCUAUUACAUAUCGACUCAGCCCUACUAGCCAGACCAAUCUGAUGUUGACUCAACUCUCUGCACUUGCUAUAUCAAACUCUUUCUGUUCUUCUAAUUCAAAUCAAUUCUUUAUUCUUGUUUUAUUGCUACCUCAAAUCAAACUUUUUGACAAGUAAAGUAUACAUAUUAGAACCUCAAAUCAAUUUAAUUCUAAAUAUGUAACUAUCGAUUAUAAAAAUAUCGAAACUAAUUAGUUGGAAAUUUUCUGAUAGAUUGAAUCAUCAAUAUACUUAUAUAAAGGAGAAGCGAGGGGCGUGUAGGUGGCGCAUCUCACAUCGCUCCAUUCUAUUUUUCUAAUUUUCUGCAAUUUUUAGAUGAAAAAUACCAAAAAUUAGAACUACCUUUUUUAGUUUCGGAUAUAUUAGAAGCAAGUUUCAGAAUCUGAUUUUGUUUCAGAUUAUUUAUGGAAUAUAGUAGUUUGAAAGUUUUAAUUUGAUUUUAUUUCUAUAUAAUCUGAUUUUGUUUCAGAUUAUUUAUGGAAUAUAGUAGCUUGAAAGUUUUAAUUUGAUUUUGUUUCCAUAUAAAGGAGGAGCGAGGGGUGUGUAGGUGGCACCUCUCACAUCGCUCCGUUUUAUUUUUCUAAUUUUCUGAAAUUUUCAGAUGAAAAAUAUCAAAAAUUAGAACUGCUUUUUUUAGUUUCGAAUAUAUUAGAAGUAAGUUUCAGAAUCUGAUUUUGUUUCAAAUUAUUUAUGGAAUAUAGCUGCUUGAAAGUUUUAAUCUGAUUUUAUUUCAGAUUAUUUAAUUAUAGGAAAGAGUAGCACACAAGUCUCUCUGCACCUAUAAAUACCCCUAGGUUGUAGGGUUUUGGAUCAUCUUAACACAACCUUCUCUCUCGGUAUCACAACCCUGGCUCUCUCUGGUGAUAGUUCUAUUGCUCGAUUUCUAACUCGGUGUUGCCGUUCUUCUGGUGAAGGCUGUUUAUACAGUAUUAAAAAAAAUAAAGGUUGUUGUAAGCAAAGGUAGUUAUAGACCGCUACGUGGGAGUCGACAAAUCCAAACACGGGAGAAAAAUAUAGUCUUGACAUGAUAUUGAUGGAUGAUAUCAAUAAAUUACCUAUUAGUGAUGUAUGUUUGUUAUUCUUUUAUAAAAUUUGUUUUGUUCAUCGAACAUGUCUGCUGUUGUUAAUUUUUAUAUGAUUUACUUUGCACACAAGAAAAUACUAUUCAUGCAUUAUCUGUUUGCUCCGUUCAAACAACUUUUAAGUGAAGACUGUUCAUACAGUAUUAAAAAAUAAAGGUUGUUGCAAGUAAGGGUAGUUAUAGACCGCUAUCGCACGGAUUUAAGUUAGAUAUUUUUGUGCACAAUCAAUCCAAAAAAAUUGGAGGAAGGUGACAAUGUAAGAACAUGAUUACUUUUUUAAAAAAAAACACAAAUAAAAUUAAGAUUUGUCGUGCUUUAAAUUGUUAAUUACGUGUAGAAAUUUAUUUUCAUAUUUUCAACAUGAAUUAUAGUCUAAUUUUGCAAUUUUAUAUAUUAGUAUUGGCAUUACAUCAAGAUUUUUAUAAUAUAAAAUUUAAUUUACCCUACAAAUAUUAAUUUUUAAUCAUUAAUAUAUUUUUUUAUAUACAGCCACAAAAUUAUUGCAUUCUACAAAUAUUAAUAUUAGAUCGUUAAUAUAAUUUUUAUAGGCCGCCGUAACGCGCGGCUUCUCAACUAGUUUUUUAAAAUUGAAGUAUAAUUUGUAAACUGAUAAAAUAUUUCAUAUAUUUUAUAAAAAUUAAUCCUACAUUUAACUUCAAAUUUUAAUAAUCAAAUAGUCAACUGAUAAUCAAGAAUUGAAAUUAUUACAGACUGUGAUAUAAAUUUAAAGCGUGAUAAAAUCUAGAAAAUCGAGGGUGAAAAACAAGAGAGUCAAACUUUAUAUUUUAUGAUCCAAUUCUUGUUGUGCUCACAUUCUUUUCUUCUUUCUUGCUUCCAAACUUUGUCUUCCCUCUUGUCAUCUUUCUUCACCACUUGAAUCCCCCUCACCCUUUAUCUCUACAAUCUAUACUCACAUUUUUUAGUGUGCUUCACAAUGGUGGUGAGUUCUUGUUUCCUACUUGUACUCCCCAAGAUCUUAUCUUUAUCUGUUCAAGUAGUUUAAAAUAUACUCACUUAUGCUUGCUUAUAUUUUAAUGUGUUUUUGUUAUGUGUGUAUUGGUAUCAGACAAGAACAGUACAAGUUGGGCAUGUUUCAGAUCUAGCCACUGAAAGAGAAAUUCAUGAGUUCUUCUCUUUUUCUGGGGAGAUUGAGCAUAUUGAAAUUCGAAAGUAUGGAUUUUUUGCAUACCCUUUUGUUAUUAUUGUAAAUUUUGAAGUUGUAUGAUUUUUUUUGGAAAUUGAGCAUAUUAAAAUUCGAAAGUAUGGAUUGUUUGUGUUGAUUGUGUAAUGCAGUGAUUCCAGACCAAAGAUUGCAUUUGUCACUUUUAAAGAUCCUCAGGCUCUCGAAAUUGCAUUACUUUUGUCGGUAAAAUUCUUGUUUAAUGUUGUCUGGUUCUUAUCAAUUGUAGUAGUUUACAUGCUUAGUAAUUUUUGUCAAUUUAAGUUAUGAGCUUGAAACAGAAGUAGCUAAUCCCUACCUUCAUAACUUCUAAGAAGUACUCCCUCCGUCCCUCGGAAUUGUAUACAUAUGGAUUCGGCACGGAGACUAAGAAAAGUGUAUAAAGUAAUGUAAAGUAGGAAGAAAGAGAAAGAAAAGUGGGUAAAGUAGUGGGACCCAUCAAUAUAUAAUUGAUAGAUUUGGAAAAGUAGUUGAAAGUAGUGGGUGAGUGGGGUUUUUAUAUUAUAAAACUUGACUAUUUUGGGAAAGUUUUGAAAUGUAUAGAAUUGAAUGAGACAUCCAAAAAAGAAAAGUGUAUAGAAUUAAAUGAGACGGAGGGAGUAUCAGUUUUAGUAUUGAAAGCGUCAAUGAAUAAACCAGAUAACUUGAUUUGAAGUUUAAGUUGGGUACACGAAUAGUGACCGUAAUGUGAUAUGUUACAUAUUACUAUCUCGGGGUACUACUUUUCUCACUCUCUGUCAAAGUAAUGUAUCUUUCUCUAAAUUUCUUUGUACAUAAUUGAAUAUUACAAAUCUAAAACUUCAUAGAAAUAUCCGUACACUGCCACAUAAUUAUCCAUUUUAAUAUCUAUGUUAUAUUUCAGUACUCUCAUGUAACAAGAAUCAAGAAAUAAAUAAAAAAAGAGUUAUCCGCUACUUUUGAUUCUUUUUACAAUUUUAUAUUGACCGUAAAAAGUAGUUGCUUUAUUUUUAUCUUUUAGUCACCAAGUCAUUGCAUGUUCAAGUCUAAGAGGUGGUUGUUCAAAUUGAAUAAUUUUACCUGUUCAAAGACUUUAUCCUUAGGGUGGUUAUUCAGAAGGCAUUGAGAAUUAUUUAAAAUCUAUAUUGGCAGAUCACAGAUGUACUGGCUUUUUAUUGAAUCAUAGCAUGUACAAAUAAUUUUCUGCAUUUUUACAGGGAGCAACCAUUGUAGACCAGAUUGUUAGUAUAACUCCUGCAGAAAACUAUGUCCGCCAGUUUGUGGUUCAGGUAAGUACGUUCAUUGGGCUGCUGCUUAGUUUACAUGUCUUGCAACUUACAUUCAUAUAUUUUAUUCAACCUGUACUGUGCAGGGUGAAAGUAUAACCGACGACAACAUGAGAGGGGGAGAUGCAUCACCGCAUGCUGAGGUAAUUUAAUAACCUUGCAUACUUCUACCAGUGUUUCAUAAUCUCUUCUAGAUUUUCCAAAUACUGUGAACUGUCAACUCAUUUAUGGAGGAUAGUUGCUUGUGUGAGAUACUUUCAUUUUUGCUAAUGUAUAUAACUAUGGGUUAUGAAUUAUGACUAUGAGCUUCCCCUGAUCUUGUUAUUUGAGAUUGUUUUGUAUGGCAAGCACUGAAGCACAUAUCUGUGUUGGUUGCGUCUUUCUGUUCUGUUUUUUAGUGUCACUCAAUUCUGUUAAUGUUCUAAACGUGUAUUAUCUUAUUAUACCAGAACCAAACUACUUCGCCGAGCAGUGGAAGAGUUUAUGUUAGUAAAGCUCAAGAUGUUGUAUCAAGUAUGUUGGCAAAGGGCUCUGCUCUUAGGCAAGAUGCCAUGAAUAAGGCUAGAGCAUUUGAUGAAAAGCAUCAGCUAAGAGCCAAUGCUUCAGCUAGAGUCAAUUCCUUUGACAAGAGAGUCGGGCUUACACAGAAAUUUUCUGUUGGGAUCUCGGUAGUGAACGAGAAAGUGAAGUCUGUAGAUCAAAGGCUUCAAGUGUCUGAUAAAACAAUGGCGGCACUAAUGGCAGCAGAGAGAAAACUAAACAACACAGGAACAGCUGUCAAGUCAAGCCGGUUUGAAAAACUUCCCCUCUUUUCAUUUCUUGGUUUUUCAGUUACCCAGUUUAUGUUUUGAUGGACUGUCGCGUGUUUUUGGUGAUGUAUAUUUCACCUUUUCUGCUGAUAGUAUAAUAAUGGUUUUAAUAUCAAAGUGCCCACCGUUCUCGCAAAAAACUAUCAAGUGACUACCCAAUCUCCACGAGAACUCAUUUUAGCCAAUAGAAUCAUUAUAUAUAUCACUAUGUUAAACCUUGAAAAAUUAUUAACAUAAAACUUAAUGCAAUCCUAAUCAGCAGAUGAUGUGUGAGCCACAUGGAUUACAAAAUAGAACUAGAACCGAAGAUUACAAAGAAGUAUAGAAAGAUUGUAGCAAAUACAUCAUCUGUUUGUUAACUUUUUCAUUAAUAUUUUUUCAAGAUUUAACGGAGUGAUAUAUAUUGUGAUUAUAGUGGCCUAAAUGAGUCCCCGUGGAGAUCGGGUAGUCAGAUAGUUUUCGAUGAGAAUGGUGGGCACUUUGAUAUAAUACCCGUACGAAAAUAUGUAAUAUUGUAUACCAUUCCAUUGGCGGAGCCAGAUGUUAGCGGAACAUAAGGAUUUUUCUGUAUAUAGGUGUCUUAACAUCCCGGAAACUUAUUUAAUACCUAAUAAUUUAUGACUAUUUUCUGGAACUUGAUCAUUUUAGAAGUCAGGGGAAUGGAGGAGAGCAAUAUAUGUUUUAAAGUGAGUGAGAAAUAUCAAAUAUGAGAACUUUGGAAGCAAUGAGGAAAAAGUUAUAGCAAGACAAUGAAAUAAUGAUUGAGUUCUAGAAUUCAAACACACAAUAUCAUAUAGUACAUUGUCUUACAAACCAUAGUAACCCAAUUUGUUGUUUCAGAAUAUACAACAUUCAGUAUAACUAUAGUUGGCUUUCCCUUGUUCCUCUUGAUCCGCCGCUGUACCUGUUCCACGAGUUUUUUGUUAGUAGGAAGAGUUAUAACCUUAAUGUUUGCCAAGUUAUAUUGGCACUUUCAUCAUUGUUCAUCAUUGUUCAAUGUGCCUAUCCUGGCUUUCCAUAAAAAUUCUCUUCUAGAAGUGUGUUGCUGAAUAUAAUGCGCUAGUGUAGUGUAGCUUUCUAUUUUUUUCCUUUUGGUCUUCUUUAACUAAUUAUGCUUCAGGGAGAUAACAGAUUAGUUAUAAUUUAAAUAAUUUAAAACAGAGUUCAAACCAAAGUUUAGUUGUAUAUGUUAUGUAACAGGACAAUUAUAUUUGGCUAAAUCACAUGUGGUCGAUUAAUUGACUAUAUAUGGCUCUGAGCAGGUAUGUGACUGCUGGAACUAGUUGGCUGAAUGGUACCUUUGGUAAAGUGGCAAAGGCAGGGCAAGUUGCUGGUACAAAAACUAGAGCAAAAUGGAGUAUGGCGUUAUCGAAUUUGACUGCUAAGGUGCGGGGUCUACUGUUUACCAUUUCAUAUAUUAUUAUUCCUUGUAAUAUUAUAAAAUGCCUCACUGUUGUUAUUUGAAGGAUCAAUAAACUGAAAAUAUAUAUAUAACAAUCCUUGGGAAAGACAGUAAACAUCAGCUUAUCUGAUGUUGUUUGUGUUGAGUAGACUUGACGGUCAUGCCAUGUCAGGUUUUUCGAGCCAAACACAAUCUAAAAUAUUCCAUGUCAGUGAUCAGUAUAUGACCAAAACUAUUUGGGUGGAUAUGAGAUACAAAAUGAUUUGUUAAAAUAUAAAAAUUGGAGCAAAAUUUAGAUCAAUUAAUUAUUAAGAUAUAUACUAUGUACAACUAUAUAAUAAAUUUUGCGCACUUUUGUAUUGCAUUAUCACGGCCAAGUUUUGUUGCAUUUCCAGAACAGAUGAAACAAUCUCAAACAUGGAUUUUCUUGUUUUCACGUAUUAUACAAAAUUGUUGGUGUAAAUUUAAGCCCUAUGUUCUGGCUUCUACCAGCAAAACUAAAAAGAUUGGGGGGAAUUUUUUUCUCUUUGAUCAGUUAUUUAAAAUUACUAUAGCCUUUCUUCCUGUUUAAUUACUGUGAUAUUAUUUGAGUGCAGGAUCCUCCAAUUGCUGCUUAGGCUAUGGUGUAAAGUGAUGAGAAAUCAAUCUUCUGAUAGUGUAACCAGUCCACUAUUUCUAUCAAUUCUUCAUAUGAUUUGCUGGCUUGAACUUUGAAAUCUAGGGUUGCAGUCUCAGCGUGGCAAUGUCGAUCAUAUUUUGUAUGUUUCCAGUUUCUCCCAAUGUAACCUCCCUUUUUUGACGCACAUAUGUUCUGUUCAGUUUUUUAUUUCAAUUUUUAAUUAUAUUUAUAUCAGGUGAAAUUUGCCCUUGGGCGUGUAAUCUUUUAGUGUGUAGUACAAGAGUGAGUGUGGAUUUUACUACUCAUUUCAUAGAUCACCUCUUCCUUUUUUUGUGUGACAAUCUAGUCCAUUUGUUGGUGGUUUAAUAAGUGAUAACUCGGUCUAAGUGUAUUGUUUCAUCUAUCACAUAUCAGUGUACGUGUUCCCCAACUUCGUAGAAAAACAGAAUGUUGCCCAUUUGUUCAAUCCCUGCCAUGGAUUUCUCUGUUCACAAAACGAGUAUUAUAUCCUUUUGUGAAAGACAUUACCGUCUUUGCAUAAUCUACUCCAUGUAACAGGUGAACAUUUUGCUUAGUAAAUUAGCCAUCAACCUGCAGAAAAAUCUCGGUAAACUACUAAUAUUAAAAUUAAUAAUUUAUAUAAACGAAUUUGUUUAUUAAUUCCCCAAAUUGGGCCAAAAUGUGCAAUUAGACAAGUUAAGAAGAUAAUAUUUAAAAAUAUAUAUAUGUUAUUAUUUUACUAAAUAUGAUUCGUUUUUGUUUAUAUUCUCUUAAAACUUAACUUCUACUUUAAUAUAUUACUUAUUGCAUCUAAUAUACAAGUGUGAUCGAAUUAUAUCAAAAUAGUUGUUUAGCGUCUUUUAACGCAUCUACUAAUUCCGGGAAAUAAUCACUGUUAACCGCUACCCACACGAGACCUCGCCUGAUCCUUCCAUUCCUUUAUUCUUGGAUAUCCAGGUUUGGAUAUCCAGGUAUAGGGGUGUCAAUGGAUCGGAUAUCCGGUCCGACCCGGUCCGAUCCAGGAGCUAACGGAACGGAUAUGGAUCACCUAAAAUAAAAUCCAUAUGGACCAGGUACAUAAAUAUGGAUUUUGUAUGUUAAUCUCUUUAGAUGUCAAGAGGCCAGUCAGUAGCUGCUAUUUUAGCACAGUUUUCCUGUAACCAUAGUACAUCUUGUACAUAACAGUUGGUUAGAUGUCAUCUUUUACCAUCCUCUCCAACUCUGCAACAACUGAGCAAAAAUCUCCUAGGCUGUUGCUGAUUAUAACACUACUAAACCUGGUUUCUCUUAUCGACUUCAGGAAACAAAAUAUUCAACUUGUGUAGUCGAAAGAGUUCAAGUAUUUGUUUUCUUCCUGCAACCAUUCUAAGAUAUAGUAAAAUGCUAUCCAGCCCCGAUCGAUCAAUACUGUCAAGUCUAGUUCCAAGUCAAAUUCGGUCUUUUUUCCAGAGGAAUUCGGUCGCCCAUUUUGUAUGAAGAUUCUUGCAGAGAUAUAAACAAGGAGAAACUAAUAAUAAUUGAAGAAUAGUUUAUAAAUUUAGAUUCUUGCAGAGAUUAAAACAAGGAGAAACUAAUAAUAAUUGAAGAAAAGUUUAAAAAUGUUUUCAGAACGACAUGCUGGCUAUAAAGCUUAGUUGUCUCAUGGAGAAAACAGCACCAUCUUUUAUAUAAAAACUCAUCAGCUUUACUUUGUCUGAUUCCACUAGGCCAUAAGUUAGAAGAAGCUGUCCCUCAGCCCUCAGGUCAUCAUAACUACUUGUACUCUAGACUCUAUCCUUUGUACCUUUAUUUUUUUAUUAAUAUCUAUUUUCUACUGUUUUAUUACUCUAUAAAUUUGUAGCAUUUCUUGUCCAGAAUCCCCAUGAAGAGAGCAGCAAGUACAUAAACAGGAGGGGUUUGGAAUGAAGCUUGUUCCAAAAUCUAUUCUUCUAUACUUUUUGAUAUCAAAUUAUAGCACUAUAAUGGACAGAUGGGAUUUCGGACCAGGCUUCGUUCCUCACACCAUCCUUUUUUCGCAGAUUCGCUGUAAUUAGCCAAUCAUACAGGUAUGCAAAUUAAUGUUCAUCUUGAUCAAGUAGUAGUCCAUCUGUAUGUGUUGAUAGUUUAUGUACAUUAUGCUACUGCAUAAUUUCUGGUGCAGCUCUGAAAUUGGUAUAUAUUAUACUUCCAGUCUUCUGCAAGAACCAUUUGCUUUUUAAAUUUCGUCUUCAUUCAUAUCUCCUGAAAGGUGAAAUGAAAAGGGCUAGUGCUAGUUAAAUUCACAUGUUUUGAGUAAAUCCGGAGAAGAUUGUAUAGAUGCAACAAGGAAUCUCAAUUAUAUGGCGCAAGAGCAAGCGUCUAUGCGUGCAAAUUACGAGUUCUAUAAAGCUCCAUCAAAUCUAAUGUCAAGUUUUUUUCAUAGCCAAUGAAAACUCUUGUCAUGUACCUCAAUGUUUAUUAUUAUUCACACAAAUGCAGAUCCUCAGAUUCUAGCAUGUCAGUAUGGUGAUAUAUAAACAUUAAACUUGUAUGCAUGCACAUGAAUUCUGUAAUUAACACGGGCAUAAACAAUGACAGACCAAUGUGUGAUUGAUGCUUGAUUUUUCAAUUUGUGUGAAUGUUUUUAUCUAGAGUGAUGUUGAACACUGAACACACAUUUUUGCCAAAUGCUGUUAGUACUUGAAGGGUGCUAUAUAUGGUUUACAAGAUUCUUACGAGAGAAUAAGUUAUGUUUCUAUGCAGUUCAACACAGGUUGCUUCAAUAGAUCAACUGUUGCUCUAAAAUCUUAAGGUAUCAAUCUUAUGAUCUUAAGGUACAAACCUUAAGAUGUCAGAAUAAAGCUCAACAAAAUCUAAUGAGCUCUUCAAACACGCUCUUAAUUGUAAAUAUAAAAAAAAUGUGGAAAGUUAAUGUUCCAAUGUGCUCCUAAUUAGUUAAGAGUCUCCCAAACUAGGUUGUAUCCAUUAUCCAGCAUCUCUAGAUCCAAAGAGCACAGCAAAUUAUGCAAGUACUUGGCGCUUGAUUCUACCAUUGUAAAAUUGACCAACUAAAGAAUACAUACUAACCAACGCCUUUUUGAGAUUCCCUUCUGAGCAUUCCAAAUCGACCCAAGAGAUGAGCAAUGCAAGUGCAGCGAUUUUGAUUUAACGGAUUAGAAGACUUUGCAGCCAUCUCUCAGCAGGCCACAGUGGUUACAAGACAAAAGUAAGCUUAAGAAGGUAACACUGUUUAGUCCUAUUUCUUUCUCUAUCAUAGAAUGGAAAAUUUGCAUUGCUUCAUAACCCAUUCCAUGUGUACCAAACCCUCAUUCAUCGAUGUCCAUGCCACAAGAUCCCUGGAAGUCAUACUGUCAAAGCAGAUACUCAUAUAAAAUGCUUUAACAUCUCAAAAACAUGUUCAUAAUGGAUGUUUCCAACAGUGCAGUCUUGUCCUCAAACAAGUUCAUUGAUCAGUUGGCAUGAAAACUACCCAGAAGCAGGGGACACAGAUGACUGUAACUCUGUAAGCUAGAAUGACAUUGCUUAAGCAAGGGUUCAGCAGCAGCCUAAAAACCAGAAGAUAACAUCAUCUGAAAUAUCUGAAUGGCCACUUAAAAGAUACCCAUUUCAGAUAAACUUAUAGCAUCUAAAGUAUAAUAGCCAGUAAAAAAUUUUACCAAUUAACUUUUCUGAAGAAUCCAAGUCAUCGCACAUGGCAUAGAAAUCCAGCAACAGAGUUUUCAAUAAAAUACUGUCAUACUGUCCACUUUUGACGCUGGACAAUGCACCUGUUUACCAUAAAAGGUAUUUCCAGCAUCUGAAAACGAGAAAGAAGUAAAUACUGAGAAGAAAGAAGUAAAGACGCUCGAUACUGAACACCUCAUGACCUUGCAAUGCACCAGUUCACCAUAAACAUAUCAGCCUUUCUUUCGAAAGGUAUAUUCACAUAACAUAUAAGAUAGUUUUUUUCUCAUGUAGACUUUUGUGUAUUAUUCAUCACGAUUUUAGUUUUUCUGAGGAAAUUUGCAUUUCUUUUGAAAUAUUUGUUUAUGCAACACGGGAGGAAAAUGUGUUCACUCGAUGUAAGAUAAUUUAUAAGCAGCUAUGCAAUGACUAAUGAGCAAUUCUCACAAGUUAUAGUGCAUUUCAAGUCACUGGAAAUGUUUAUUUCACGUUGCAUUAUAUGCCUCUGUUUUGUGUUGUGUAUUUUGAUUUUCCCUUACUUUUUAAUUUAGUUUUCAUUCCAAUAGUAGUAGUACAAUUUCCUGUUACUUUAUAGCAUGUACUGUUUCUCGUCCAUUUAUCUUGUAGUAGCAAGUAUUGUUUCUCCUCCAUUCGACUAAAAGGUGUCUUAUCAUUCUUCCAAAAUAUUCAAAUCAACUACUCCUACAUGUGUUGUCCAAGAAAAAAAAGAAUGUAAAUAGACCUACCUUGUAUUGGUUCAACUGCAAUUUCAACUUAAUAUAUCUUGUUUUCUUCUCAACAAAAGCUUACUGUCCACCUCUCUACACAUAAUAUCUGGCCAAAAUGUUUUUAGUUUGAGAAAAAAAUGCCCCAUUAAUAAUCAAGUGCUCAACUAUACAAGUGACUAACAAAACUACGAUACACACACUCUAAUAUAUUUUUAACAUAAGGGCAAGUAUGGUUUUCUGUUUUCUAUACCUUGUGGUUAACCUCAAUGUGAUGGAUUAAAAACCAGUAGUUCAACUUCUCUGAGAGUUGCAUACACUGGUGUAUUGACCCCAGCACCACAUCAACUGCGGUAGGGAGCAGCAGUCACCUCGUCCACAUCAACAAAUGACGUACAGUCAAUAUCCUGGAAAGUUAGUUUUCCUGUGUAAAAAUCACUUGCGUGAUCAGAACAUAAGGGAAUGCACUUUCGAUUGAAAGAUUCGUGAAUUGCACCCAUCCCUGGAACCCACUUCUUUUCAUCCCGUGGAUUCACAUUACAAAUUUUUUGCAGCAGGUGUAUUCUAUAAACAAUAGUAUCUGUUCUGUUGCAGAAAUGAGCAACGCAUCGAUAUAAAGGUUCAUGAGAAGCCAAUCUUAUCAAAAUAACUGUCAACGUCCCGUCUACAGGUUUUGGAUCCGAAAGGUUUUGAUCUCCCAUCAUUUUAAUCUCUUUUUCAGUUGGAAAGUGCACUUCUUCAGCAUUAUCAACAUCGAAAACUUUCAAGUCCUUGGUGUAAUGUUUGAUAGCCUCACGCUUGGUAGAUUCAUGUUUUUCUGCUAAAGUCAGAAUACACGAGAACCUAAUAUGGUAACUUACAACAAUUUUUACCAUCUUGAAGUUGUGACAGCAGCAGAAAUAAUCGAGCCAUCUUCUACCCACACCAGCAUACCACUUAAUAAUGUCAACAUCUUCAAGAGACAUCAGUGAAUUAAUAGGUCUAGGACGACCCAUAAUAUUAGUAAAUCCAGCCAGCCUAACAGCCUUCCGAAUAAGUUCUAUUGGUGCAUUGACCAUGAUACAGAGCUUCGUCAUAUCCUUGACUGUUCUUUCCGCGUACAUUUGUUCCUCUUGCUCUUGAGCUCUUCUUUCUUCUUCCUCCAGUGCGCUUUUAGCUUUCACUGGUGCCAAGUGCUUAUCAACUUGAUACUGAAAGUUAUCAUAAGCAUCAACAAGCUCUUGCGGAAGUUGAUCCCUUAUUCGUUUUAAAGACAAAAAAUCACCAGUUUUGAGCUUCCUGUGCCAACUCCAACGCUCUUCAAUAGAUCCAAAAAACUCCUCCACCACUUCACUAGACCAGGUUCUAAAUAUUUCUGUUACUUCAUUUUCAAUUUGGUAAUCAAAUUCAAGUUUAUCACCACGCUUAAGCUUCUUAUAUACAUGCGACAUUAUUUUCAAACCCAACUUUUUCCUUCUAGUCUCCCUAGCAUUUCUCAACUCCUCUCUUUCAACUUCUUUCUGUCUAAGGUACUUCUUUUGCGCCCUCAUAGCCUUUUCUGACAUCGGAGGGUGCAAAAACGAAGGAGUGACAGCCCGAACUUCCAUACCUAAAAAAUUAAUCUUUUCAUUAGCCGCACUAUGAAUAGCCGAUCGCACCCUAUCCACCUUUAACUCCAAAUCAUUUUCCAAUAAACUCAAAACCUUAUGUUUCAAAUCCAUAGUCAACAUCUUCGUACCAGACGUAAUCACAAGUAUCUCAUCCAAAUACCUCACAGCAUAUAUCUUUAACGGCUUAUGAAAAACAUUAUCCUCCGAUUCUAACUUGGGGUUCUCUAAAUUGGUUUGCAGCCUCAAUUCUUGAAUCUUUUUAUCAAACUUAUUAAAAUACACAUUCAUCAAAAUCGCACUCAACCCACAUUCCUCCGGAAACCCUCUCCCUAAACAACACCCACCCAACUCAAUCCUAACCACCCCAUACUCAAAAAACCCCUUAAUCAUCCCGAUAAAAAUCUCAUCUUUAAUCUUCUCCUGAAGAACCAAACACAACCUAUCCACAUUCUUCGAACCAAACUCAACAUUAUCGAAACAAGCCAUAAACCACCAACUAGGAUUCUCAACAGAAUUCCUAAGGUACCUAAUAGCAGUGUGUCUCCCCAUCCCGACACGCCCACCGUAACAAAAAGUAACAAACCUAUCAUCAUACACACAUUCUAACACAAUCCUAAUAGCUUCAAUCAAAACCUUAAGCUUCAAAUCAGGCAAAACAAGGGACUCACCGUGGGGCCCACCAAGAGUAAAGCAGCAAUCUUUGAUAUUGAACUGAUUCUCGGCGAGCUGUUGAGCCAUUUGGGCGAGUGAAAAGUGAGGUGAGAGCGAGUUAGAUGAGUCGGUUUGUUUGAGGUUGUGACAAGCAGUGAGGAGAAAACAAGGGGAAGCGACGACGUUUUGGAUGAGGUUAGUGAAUUUGCCAUGAGUGUAUUGGUUUAAAAUUAGGGUUUUGAGUUGGGGUUUAGUGAGUGGGUUUGUUGAGAAUAGUCUCCAAAUUGAAACCCUAGAAAUGUUCUUGAAUGGACGAGUGGCUUUUUUGAUGCAUAACAAGAACAUCCUCUAGUGUUCUUGAUUUUUAUGAUACUACUGUCGCUUAUUUCUGUUUCACAAUUGAGUCAAUAUUUUGCAUUGAUUUUAGGAUAAGCGCAUUAGAUUAACUGAGCCCAAACUUAAGUUGGGCUUGAAUUGAAACAAAGUUUUUUUUUUUUUUUUUUUUUUUUUUUGCCAUAAAAUUGGAAUUCAUUAAUAACACAAAUCAUCCAACAAUACAUGAUUAAAUUCAGGGUGAACAUCUCCCACCCUCCACACACGAUCAGCUACUGAACAACUAUACCUCGCCAAAUAGUGAGCCACUUUGUUCGCGGACCGUUUUACAAAUCUAAAACUUAUGUUUUUGUCAUGCAAACUUGCAAGCAAUUCUCUACACUCCUGGACAACUCUUCCCAAGUAAGAAACACAAGAGAGGGAGCUGCGUAUAGCCUGAACAACCUGCAAGCAAUCUGUCUCAACAACCACACCUGUACGUCCAUUUUCCUUUACCCAACUUAAUGCCUCUCUGAUGCCAAAAGCUUCUGCUAGAUCAGGAUUAACUUGGCCGCGUAAACAUUUUGAUCUUGCUUCAAUCAAUGCACCUUCAUGAUCUCUAACUAUGAAUGCGUGACUAUAACAGUUUAAAUCUUCAAAAAUGGCCGCGUCAGAAUUUAUCUUAACACUAUUAAUCAUGGGACUGUGCCAGUGUUCAUCACCAUCAUUUUGGGUCAUGUAACCCAUAAAAUGGUCAAAAGUUCUAUCUUGAACACUCUUCCAUUGGUUAAGAAUAGAGUAUGCCGACUCAACCAAUUCUGUGAUCUCCAAACUAUGUUGGUUCCAUACGAGUUCAUUUCGGUGCUUCCAAAUCAUCCAGCAGACCAUAACAGUGAUGUGAAUCUGUUUAGAAUCCUGUUGUUGAAACACUAACUGUAACCACUGAGAAAAGGAGUUAAACUCUCCACACACAAUUUGAUUAUGUACUCUUGCCCAGCAUGUGACAGCAUAAGAACAUGUUACAAAAGUAUGCAAAGCUGUUUCCGGAAACGCAUUACAGGUUGGACAAAGAGCACUAACCUGGACUCUCCUUACUCUGAGAACAUCUUUUGUGGGCAAACAAUUCGUCGACGCUCGCCAAAGAAAGAUUUUCACUUUAGGGGGGAUCUUUAAGUUCCACAACUUCCUCCAAAAACCAGAAUUUGGUUCUGCGUUAUGACUGUGUUUAGCUUCCUGUAAUAACAAAUAUGCGCUCUUCACGGAAUAGUUUCCCAGUUUUUCCUUCCUCCAAUACCAAGAAUCAUCUACAGCACUGUUCAGUGGGGUGUUGAGGAUUAUAGCAGCGUCUCUUUGAUCAAAGAUGUCCAGAAUCAGAUCAACAUCCCACUGUUGGUCGAUGUCCAUCAGUGAUGAGACCAUUUGACCUUGUAAAGCUGGGCUGUUAGUUUGAACAUAUGCCUCAUGUUCUAGUGGUAGCCAAGGAUCUUCUAGAAUACUUAUAGACGAGCCAUUACCAACCCUGCAGCCUACUCCUUGCUGUAAAAGAGAUUGUGAUUCUAGAACACUUCGCCAGAUGUAGCUGGGAUUGCUGCCAAUUUUAGCGUUUAAAAAAGAUCCAUGCGGAUAAUAACGAGCCUUAUACACUCUGCUGACCAACUUAUCAGGAUAAUGAAGUAGUCUCCACCCUUGUUUGCCUAACAAAGAGAUGUUAAAGUCACGCAGAUUUCUGAAACCCAUGCCUCCAGAUGAUUUCGUUUUGCUCAUAUUACUCCAACUCAACCAGUGUAUACUUUUAUCUUUCCUCGAAUCCGACUGCCACCAGAAUUUGCACAUGAUUUUUUCGAGGUCUUGACACAGGUUUAUCGGCAACAAAAACACUCCCAUCACAUAAUUAGGCAACGCCUGUGCUACUGUCUUUAACAAAACCUCCUUACCACCUUUAGAUAGCGAUUUCUUGUCCCACCCUUGAAUACGACUCUGCAGUUUCUCCUUCAUGAAGCCAAAAAUAGAUGAUUUAUGUCGACCCACAAUGUUGGGCAGGCCUAAAUACGUACUACGAUCAUUGGCUUCCUGAAAACUCAACUUCUGACAAAGCUCCUGUUUUAGAGAACUUGAAGUGUUAUUGCUGAAGAACACCGAGGAUUUAUCCACGUUUAUUUGUUGUCCAGAAGCCUUUUCAAAGAGAUGUAAUAUUUGUAAAACAUGAUCUGCGCUCUCCAUACUCGCCUUACAGAAGAUGUAGGAAUCAUCUGCAAAGAACAUAUGUGAUAUAGGGGGUGCAGAACGUGCCACUUUAACACCUUUAAUCAUAUUCCUCCUUUCAUAAUCAUGAAUCAAAGCUGUCAAACCUUCAAUGCAGAUGAGAAACAAAUAGGAAGAAAGGGGAUCUCCCUGUCUAAGACCUCGUUGCGGGACGAUGGAACCAAACUGUCUUCCUGCAUGUGAGAUUUGGUAUUGUACUGAGGACAUACAACCCAUAAAUAAUUUAACCACGGCGCUUGUAAAACCCAUCUUUAAAAGCACAGCCUCCAAGAACUUCCAUUCAACUCGGUCGUAAGCUUUAGACAUAUCUAAUUUGAGAGCCAUCCAAGAUUCUUUUCCUCUUUGCUUCCUCUUCAUAUAAUGCAUGAUUUCAAAUGCCAC